GACGAACGCUGGCGGCGUGCUUAACACAUGCAAGUCGAACGGAAAGGCCUCUUUCGGGGGGUACUCGAGUGGCGAACGGGUGAGUAACACGUGAGUAACCUGCCCUUGACUUUGGGAUAACUUCAGGAAACUGGGGCUAAUACCGGAUAGGAGCUCCUGCUGCAUGGUGGGGGUUGGAAAGUUUCGGCGGUUGGGGGUGGACUCGCGGCUUAUCAGCUUGUUGGUGGGGUAGUGGCUUACCAAGGCUUUGACGGGUAGCCGGCCUGAGAGGGUGACCGGCCACAUUGGGACUGGGAUACGGCCCAGACUCCUACGGGAGGCAGCAGGGGGGAAUAUUGCACAAUGGGUGGAAGCCUGAUGCAGCAACGCCGGGGGCGGGAUGACGGGCCUCGGGUUGGAAACCGCUUUCGCUCAUGACGAAGCUUUGUGUGACGGUAGUGGGUAAAGAAGCACCGGCUAACUACGUG
rnacentral:rRNA from 1 species